rnacentral:misc_RNA from 1 species
GAUGAAGAACGUAGCGAAAUGCGAUAAGUAAUGUGAAUUGCAGAAUUCAGUGAAUCAUCGAAUCUUUGAACGCACCUUGCGCCUUUUGGUAUUCCGAAAGGCACACCUGUUUGAGCGUCAUGAAUACCUCAAUCUCCAUCUUUUCUUCGGAUUGAUGGGUGACUUGGAUGUUGAGCCCUGCUGGUAUGCUAUAUCAGCUGGCUUUAAACUUAUUAGCCGGCUCUGUACUGGAUCGGUUUGACUCGACGUGAUAAUAUUAUCGUUGAGGAUGCAUGUCUCAUGCAGCCGGAAAGUGUCAAAGCAGCUUCUAGCUUGCCUUUAGUGCACUUUUACAUUUUAGACCUCAGAUCAGGUGGGACUACCCGCUGAACUUAAGCAUAUCAAUAAGCGGAGA